UAAUAAGCGGAGGAAAAGAAACUAACAAGGAUUCCCUCAGUAACGGCGAGUGAAGCGGGAAGAGCUCAAAUUUGAAAUCUCCGAUGCCUGCAUCGGCGAGUUGUAGUUGCGAGAAGCACUUUCUAGGUGGACGGGCAGUGCCUAAGUUGCUUGGAACAGCACGUCGCAGAGGGUGACAACCCCGUCUGUGGCGCUGCCGGGCCGCUGACGAUGUGCUUUCGAAGAGUCGGGUUGUUUGGGAAUGCAGCCCAAAAGGGGUGGUAGACUCCAUCUAAAGCUAAAUACCGGCGUGAGACCGAUAGCGA
rnacentral:rRNA from 1 species